GACGAACGCUGGCGGCGUGCUUAACACAUGCAAGUCGAACGGAAAGGCCCUGCUUUUGUGGGGUGCUCGAGUGGCGAACGGGUGAGUAACACGUGAGUAACCUGCCCUUGACUUUGGGAUAACUUCAGGAAACUGGGGCUAAUACCGGAUAGGAGCUCCUGCUGCAUGGUGGGGGUUGGAAAGUUUCGGCGGUUGGGGAUGGACUCGCGGCUUAUCAGCUUGUUGGUGGGGUAGUGGCUUACCAAGGCUUUGACGGGUAGCCGGCCUGAGAGGGUGACCGGCCACAUUGGGACUGAGAUACGGCCCAGACUCCUACGGGAGGCAGCAGUGGGGAAUAUUGCACAAUGGGCGGAAGCCUGAUGCAGCAACGCCGCGUGCGGGAUGACGGCCUUCGGGUUGUAAACCGCUUUCGCCUGUGACGAAGCGUGAGUGACGGUAAUGGGUAAAGAAGCACCGGCUAACUACGUGCCAGCAGCCGCGGUGAUACGUAGGGUGCGAGCGUUGUCCGGAUUUAUUGGGCGUAAAGGGCUCGUAGGUGGUUGAUCGCGUCGGAAGUGUAAUCUUGGGGCUUAACCCUGAGCGUGCUUUCGAUACGGGUUGACUUGAGGAAGGUAGGGGAGAAUGGAAUUCCUGGUGGAGCGGUGGAAUGCGCAGAUAUCAGGAGGAACACCAGUGGCGAAGGCGGUUCUCUGGGCCUUUCCUGACGCUGAGGAGCGAAAGCGUGGGGAGCGAACAGGCUUAGAUACCCUGGUAGCCCACGCUGUAAACGGUGGGUACUAGGUGUGGGGUCCAUUCCACGGGUUCCGUGCCGUAGCUAACGCUUUAAGUACCCCGCCUGGGGAGUACGGCCGCAAGGCUGAAACUCAAAGGAAUUGACGGGGCCCCGCACAAGCGGCGGAGCAUGCGGAUUAAUUCGAUGCAACGCGUAGAACCUUACCUGGGUUUGACAUGGAUCGGGAGUGCUCAGAGAUGGGUGUGCCUCUUUUGGGGUCGGUUCACAGGUGGUGCAUGGCUGUCGUCAGCUCGUGUCGUGAGAUGUUGGGUUAAGUCCCGCAACGAGCGCAACCCUUGUUCACUGUUGCCAGCACGUUAUGGUGGGGACUCAGUGGAGACCGCCGGGGUCAACUCGGAGGAAGGUGGGGAUGACGUCAAGUCAUCAUGCCCCUUAUGUCCAGGGCUUCACGCAUGCUACAAUGGCUGGUACAGAGAGUGGCGAGCCUGUGAGGGUGAGCGAAUCUCGGAAAGCCGGUCUCAGUUCGGAUUGGGGUCUGCAACUCGACCUCAUGAAGUCGGAGUCGCUAGUAAUCGCAGAUCAGCAACGCUGCGGUGAAUACGUUCCCGGG
rnacentral:rRNA from 1 species